CGGACGGCUCAGUAACACGUAGUCAACCUAACUCGUGGACGUGGAUAACCUCGGGAAACUGAGAAUAAACCACGAUAGAUCAUAAUGCCUGGAAUGGCUUAUGGUCCAAACAGUUUACUGCCAUGGGAUGGGACUGCGGCCUAUCAGCUUGUUGGUGAGGUAAUGGCCCACCAAGGCGAUUACAGGUACGGGCUCUGAGAGGAGAAGCCCGGAGAUGGGUACUGAGACACGGACCCAGGCCCUAUGGGGCGCAGCAGGCGAGAAACCUUAGCAAUGUGCGAAAGCACGACUGGGUCAGUCCGAGUGAUUCCUGAUAAAGGAGUCUUUUGCUUGUCCUAAAAGCACAGGUGAAUAAGGGGUGGGCAAGUCUGGUGUCAGCCGCCGCGGUAAUACCAGCACCUCGAGUGGUCAGGACGUUUAUUGGGCCUAAAGCAUCCGUAGCCGGCUCUGCAAGUCUUCGGUUAAAUCCACCUGCUCAACAGAUGGGCCGCUGGAGAUACUACAGAGCUAGGGAGUGGGAGAGGCAGACGGUAUUCAGUGGGUAGGGGUAAAAUCCUCUGAUCCAUUGAGGACCACCAGUGGCGAAGGCGGUCUGCCAGAACACGUUCGACGGUGAGGGAUGAAAGCUGGGGGAGCAAACC
rnacentral:rRNA from 1 species